CCUACGGGGCGCAGCAGUAGGGAAUCUUCCACAAUGGGCGAAAGCCUGAUGGAGCAACGCCGCGUGGGUGAAGAAGUAUUUCGGUAUGUAAAGCUCUAUCAGCAGGGAAGAAGAAAGACGGUACCUGACUAAGAAGCCCCGACUAACUACGUGCCAGCAGCCGCGGUAAUACGUAGGGGGCAAGCGUUAUCCGGAUUUACUGGGUGUAAAGGGAGCGUAGACGGCUGUGCAAGUCUGAAGUGAAAGCCCAGGGCUCAACCCUGGGACUGCUUUGGAAACUGUGGAGCUAGAGUGCUGGAGAGGUA
rnacentral:rRNA from 1 species